GGGACACCAGUGUGGGUGCCAUCUGCACCUCUGGGCACCGUGCCAUCACACAGGACAGGCACAGCACUGAAGCCAGGAAGCCCAGAUCAAAAACUGAAGGAGGGGAACCCUGUGUGCCAACCAAAGCAUGUGGGCCCCACACAGGAAAAGCGGUCUGCCGUGGACCCCGAGGCCUCCAGAGACCAGAGUUCACAGGGUUCAGACUGAACCGAGCCAAGGUGUGGGAAGACCGGGGCCUGGAGUGCCAGAGAGACCGGGCGUGGGCCUGGUAUGUGUGUUACACAAUUUUCCAGGGGGCGUUGAACUUGGGCCAAGUGACCAAAACCAAGAUCCCCUCGCCUCCGCCUUCCCUGCAGGCGUGCGAAUGGCCCAGCGUCCCAGCCGCGCGGAUUAAGCCCUAAGUCAUCACAGAAGAAGUGGUCCGCCAGUCUCAGGGACGGCAGCAAGUCUGGGCUGUGCUAGACCUUCUCUCAUCCCCUGCCAAGCCAGCUUCUCUUGAGGAGAGCCCUAACCACAGGCUGGCCGUGCCUCGGUUCAGCAUCUGGGGUGGUGAAGCCCACGGCCUCUCCAGGGGCCCUGAGAUCGGGGCCUUUUCCACCGCUGAGUUCCCAGACACCCAGCCCGAAGCCCCAGACCUUCAGGAAUGUGUUUUGCCUGGGCCCCGGGGGUGGGGCUCCCGAGGUCUGAGUUCCCUUCCGCUCCCUCAGGAUGGGAUGUGGUCCUGAGUGUGGGUGGAGGAAUUCGCCAGCUUAUCUGCAUGUUUGUCCAGCCUCAGGCAAGAAGCUACAGCUCUGGAAGCUGGGAAGUGGUCUGUGUCUGGUCCCCGGCCGGAGGUUUCAGAGGCGGUGGUGCCCUCGUGGAGGCCGGGCCCCCACUUCAGCGGAGCCAGCCGACACCACCCGGAGCAGGGACCGCCCUUCCCCAGCACAACCCUCUGGCAGAGGAGCAGCGUGAAGGUCAGCGAGGCCCCGUGGCUCGCGCCGGGAAAUGCAAGGGAGACCACGCGGAGCUGGGGUUCUGGGGAGAAGGGGGCGGCCUUUGCGUCAGACUCUGCCCAGACCGCCGUCCCGUCUCCCCAGACCCCGUUCCUCCCGCCCAGCCCCCGGGCUCUGGAUCCCUGCUGCGGCCAGGGUUCUUCUCCAGGAGGGUUUGGGCUACACAGGGCUCAGGCCAGAUGGACUUGGGCUGAAGGUGCAGGGGGUCAGGGAGCCAGGCCUGGGGAGGUGGGGUGCAGUCAGUGGAAGCCCCGAGACCCCACAGGUCUGCUCAUGGUCCCUGGGAUGCUGCGAAUGCCACGGCUGUGGGCCUCACACAGACCACCCUCCACGCCACCCCCGGUUUCCUUCCCCGAAACGUGACAAAGGACCAGCUCACAUUUGCCGGGAGCCAGCACCCCAUGAGAAUCUUACGCCUGUUAAUGGAUUCAUCCUCUCGGCAGUCCUGACCCGGUCUGUCCUGGAGUUACCCCCAUUUUUCAGAUGAGCACACUGAGGCCUAGGAAGGGUAGGUCACUCCCCCAGGCCACACAGGGAACUGCAGAGCCGGAAUUUCACCCCCGGAAUCCUGGCCUGGAGUCCACACCCUGAAGGACACAAUGCAGCCCUGGCUUCACAGCGGCGUGGCCUGGAGGCAGGGCUCCGUUCACCCCCGCGAUACAGAUCAAGAGACUGAGGCUGGGCAGUUCUGCCGGAGGCUCCAGGUUCACGGUGGCAUCUGGACCUGAAUCUAGCUGCUGGCAGGGAGUGGGGGUGGAGGAGCUAUAGGGCAGGGAGACUGGCCCAGAAGGAGGGGUCUGAUCCUCCCAGGAGGAGAGCUCCCCACCCCUUCAGCACAGCGUCAAGGGAGCCCAGAGGAGGUGGUGUGCCUGGGAAGGCAUUGAGAAAUCUGCUUGGUGAGACCGCCGCUCCCAGGGGGCCUCCUGCUUUACCCCCAGCUCUGGCCUGAAAGCAGAAGGGUGCAGAGGAGAAGGAACACAGAUCCUCCUACCUUGGGCUGGGAGGAGAAGUCGCGGAGCCACAAGAGCUCUGACACCUUCACCGCCAUGAGCCGGCCCACCUGACCUGCGACCCUCCCCAGCCCUGCAGACGCGGCCACUGCUUCCAUGCUCUCGCUGGGGGAGGAGGCCCAGGCUCGGCGGGCCCCGGUCUCAGGCCCCCGCUUCCGAUCCAGUUAGAGGCCAGUCCGUGUUCCUUUCACUGGCUUGCUUGAUUUUGUUGUAGUUCAGUCGCUCCGUCGUGUCCGACUCUUUGCGACCCCACGGACUGCAGCACGCCAGUUGCUCAAACUCACGUCCAUCAAGCCUGUGAUACCAUCCAGCCAUCUCAUCCUCUGCCGUCCCCUCCUCCUCCUGCCCUCAGUCUGACUGUGGGAAAACAGACACAACGUGAACUCUAUCAGUCUAACCGUUUUGUGUGUCCGGUUCAGUGGCGUUAGGUACACUCGCACUAUGGCGCAGCCGGCAGCGCCAGCAUCUCCAGAGCUUUCUCAUCUUCCCAGACUGAGUCUCUGCCCCGUUAACCACUGAUGCCCACUCCGCCCGCCCCUUCAGCCCCCUGGGAGCCACCGUUGACUCGCUGUCUGUGGAUUCGACUGCUCUAAGGACUUCAUAUUGCAGGACCGUGCAGUAUGGGUCCUCUUGUGACCCGCUGGUUUCCCCGAGCACCGUGUCCUCGGGGCUCACUGAUGUUGUAAGCAUGUGUCAGAGUUUCCUCCCUUUAAAGGCUGGAUAAUAUUCCAUUGUACGGGGAGACCACAUUCUGCUCGUACACCCUUGGGUUGCUUCCGCUUUUUGGCUGUGAGUAAUGUUGCUCUGAACAAGGGUGUACAAAUACCUCCUCAAGACUCUGCUGUCCGUUCUUUCGGAUAUAUGUCCAGAAGUGGAACGGCUGGAUCACAUGAGAGUUCUGUUUUUAGUGUUUUAAGGAACUGCCAUCCUGUUUUCCAUUCCCCCCAGGGCUGUGCAAAUAAAUGUUCCAGUUUCUCCACGUGCCCCCGACGAUGGUUUCUUUCUGGUGCUUCUUCUUCUUUGGUCCUGGCAUUUCAGUCACCGUCCUGAUGGCUCGGACAUGGUAUCUCACUGAUUUGCAUUUUGCUAACAGUCGGUCCCGCUGAGCAUUUCUCCAAGUACUCUUUGGCCAUCUGAGUAUCUUCUUUGGAGAGUUGUCUACUCAACUCAACUCCUGUGACCAUUUUUAAAGUCUGGUUUUUGCUCUUUGUUGUUGUUGAGUUGCAAGAGUUCUUUACGUAUUCUGGAUAUUAACCCCUUAUCAUACAGGUGAUUUGCAAAUACUUUCUCCCAUUCUCGAGGUGGCCUUCCUUUUUUUUUUUUUUAAAGAAACCUCUGUUUCAUAACCUUUUGUCUCACAUGCAUAAAGAAGAGGGCAUGGAACAUAAGUGCCUGAGGCGUUGAAGAUGCAC
ensembl:lincRNA